AGCGAACGCUGGCGGCAGGCUUAACACAUGCAAGUCGAGCGGCCGUAGCAAUACGGCAGCGGCAGACGGGAGAGUAACACGUGGGAACGUGCCCAUCAGUUCGGAACAACCCAGGGAAACUUGAGCUAAUACCGGAUACGUCCAAGGUUUUAAUCGACCUUGGAGAAAGAUUUAUCGCCGGAGGAUUGGCCCGCGUCUGAUUAGCUUGUUGGUGAGGUAAUGGCUCACCAAGGCGACGAUCAGUAGCUGGUCUGAGAGGAUGAUCAGCCACAUUGGGACUGAGACACGGCCCAAACUCCUACGGGAGGCAGCAGUGGGGAAUAUUGGACAAUGGGCGUAAGCCUGAUCCAGCCAUGCCGCGUGAGUGAU
rnacentral:rRNA from 1 species